rnacentral:misc_RNA from 1 species
UAAAGUGCGAAAUGUAGUGCAAUUUGCAUGAAUCUGUGAGUCAUCUAAUUUUUGAACGCAACUUGCGCCUAUUUAAGGCAUGUCUGUUUGAGUACCGCAUACCAAGUGCAGCAAUGCGAAUUGGUCUUGGCGUCAGGCCUUGACUUUAGUAUAGCAUGAUUAGCGUUUGUGAUGCAAACCAUGUGCUAGAGACGCAAGUCUUCUCAUGGUCGAAAUUACAAACUUUUUUCUUUUGGUCUCAAAUCAGGCAAGAUUACCCGCUGAACUUAA